CUAGGGCACGAAAGGAGGAGAGAAACAGAAAAUCUGCGUUUUCAAUUCAGAGCUGGGCAAGAUUCGAAAGUCAUGUUUCGUUCGCUGCUAAAACGUAUGAAGGCUACUCCACCCGACCAAAUUGUCAGAAUGCAAUGUUGGAUGAUUAUCGCCAGUACAGCUGUCAAAAUGUAAGUAUUGUGUUUAACAUUCCUCCUCAAAACAUUGAAAGAUCCUAAUGCCUGUUUUGUUGACUCUAACAUAAGAGUGGAAGGUGUCUCUGCCGAGGCAAUGAGGUGAUUAUGGUUGGGCGCGACGUCGGUGACAUUAGAUUUAACUUUCUUUGUAUAUAGAUAUGUUUAAACUUACAGUAAAAUGUUUGCCAAUGUCUUUGUAAUGGGUAUCGACUGUGUAAAUGUCGUAGGCUUAAUGAAUGGCAUAUGUGAGAUAUAUAUCCAUAGACCCACAAGGCCACAAUGUGUCCAUAUAAAUUGGGCUGAGAACAUCUAUGGCUUAGAACAGGAUCCAUUGGUGCAUGAGAUCAAUCUUCUUGACAAGGGGUGUACAUGUUAGGCCGUACUCAAGGAAUGGGCCAAACCUAAUGAGUCCAAACAAAUUGGAUCUUAUUUUAUUGUAUGACAAAACCACAGGUUGGGCGUAAUAUUCAAGGACCUAAGGUUGUUAAUAAUGAGUUUUAAGGGGUAACCCCCCUCGCCGUCCAUUAUCAAAUUUUGUGUACACACAAAGUGAAGAAGAGCUGAAAGUAAAUUAGAUCCGGAAGGAAGCCGAAGAAAGAGUGAGAACUGGUGACUAAAGCAGUGGGGAGGAAGGCCAAAUAGAAGGACGAUUCAGUCGGAAAAUGAGGAGUGUAGUAAUGUUUCAAUAAAUUUUUAGGAUGUAGAAUCUAUGAUUUGUGAAUUUCUAGGGGGUAAUAUACUAAAUGAAAAUCCUGUUUUGCUAUAAUAAUACUCAACAAGCAAAAUAUAGCCAACAAAGAGAGACCGUGGCUAUGGACCUUACAACUAAAGAGAGUGGGUUUUCUGAUAGUAGAAGAUGUUUUAUACUCAUUAUAUUCAGUACUUUUUGGUAGAUCUUUUUUAUAGUUGGGAUGCUGCUUUUCCUUUGAAUAUUCGUAUGGUUGGGAAUCCGGGGACUUCUUGACUUUUGAGUUGUAAAUGUUUUGUUGAAUCAUGUAUUAAAUGCUUUGGUGUUAACAAUCUGAUAUUGUCCAAAAUCUUUUAACAAGGCGGCUUCGUUCGGUGGUGACCUGUAUGGCACACUUAACCUCCAAAUCUAAGUUCUUUUUGUUUUAAUCUUGCCUUCACAUCUCGUUAGUUGUGGUUUGUAUUCUUAAUUAUGACAAAGGCACUCAAACGUAUUAUUUCUUGAAAUUGGCAUCCAAUAUCUUAGUCCAUAGGGCCACAGAGUCUGCAUUCAUAGAGUACUGUGGUAAUUCUUUUGAGUAGAUUUUGAGUUAUUUUGUUUGAGAUGAAACGGUCUAGCUCAUGCUUCACAUUCUUAUUUAUCUUGAGACAGGAGGUAACAUCGAUUCCGCCUCCACCCAACAUGAACAAAUCACUUCAGCUUGAUUGAUUACAUCUCCAAACUAAUCCAUUCCUUUUUCUAAUUGGCCUUUUUGGCAGAGAAAAUGUUUUGGCAUAUUGAAAUUGUAGUAUGCAUUGCAUGUAAUGUCUGUAAACUACUUUUCCUAACUAUACUUGCUCUUGCAAGUUUGACCUUCGAUGAAAUGCCUAAUCCUUGAAAGAGCCAUAAUGUCAUGAUUCACUUGAGAACAUUUAAUUAUCCAAUUCAUAACCUGAUUUUUUGCAAGAUAAUGUGUUCUAAAUGUGUUCCAAAAUCAUAUUAAAUGAUGUCCAAUAAAGUUGAUUUGUUGUAUAGUUGAUGUUCUCAAAGAGUAUAACAAAAUGAACAGUCUCGAUGGUUGAAGUGAAGUGGGAUCGUAAGAAUUUUUACGGGCCAAAAUUGGAGAGGAGCUGGACUCCUUUUGUGGUCCUUCUGUGGGCACCUUUUCUGGUCUUUGUCGUGAUGGUGAAUUGCCUAGCUUGGUUGAAAAAACCAGUUUUUGUUUUUGACUCAGCUGAGUGUUUUCAACGGCUAAGCCAAAUUUAAUUUGCUUUUGCUGACUUAGGUUUUCAUUUGAUUUUUCUCGUUUUCGAUUUGUGUUGCUAAUAAAAGGUUGUCCUGGUAUGCUCUUUUCUCUGGCUUUACUAAUAACCAAAUCAUUACAUUACUUCUUUUUUCAUGAUCUCAUUUAAUAGGCUCACUUUCAAGCGAAGGCUGAAUGCACCUUGAAGGACACAUCUGGUCGUACAGAUUGAAGUUCGAGAUGCACCCCUAACUACUUGCGUCUGCAUUCUUAUUUGUUUAUAAUGGUUCUGUGUACAAAAGAUAAUGUAAGACAAUAACCUAUGGUUGACAUAUUUUGCUUUUGGGAAGGGGGUUGUCAUCUGAUGGCUGCUUCCUGCUACAUUGUUUAUUUCCUAAAGCAAGCGGAGAGAAUAGAGACAUUUGUUGUUUGUUAUCUUGCUCUAAGCCAUAGUAUUCAGCUAUAGAAUGCUGAAUUUGCAGUUUGCCUC